rnacentral:tRNA from 1 species
GGUUGCAUAGUCUAGUGGUUAUGAUAUCUGCUUUACAUUCUUGUGCAGUGUCGCAGAGGGUCUCAGGUUCGAUCCCUGAUGCAGCCA